AAAGUUUUAUCCUUGCUGAAUUGUCCCUUUAAUUUUAUACUAUAUACUAAUUUUGAUUCUAAACGUUUUAUUUGGUAGUGGUUAUUCUUGUUAUUCAAGACGUUUUGGAAACAGUAAUUUUAAUACUCUUUGCUAAUUUCGUGCCAGCAGCCGCGGUUAUACGAUUAAGAGUAGGGACUAUUUUUAGUUAGCAGUUACUUAUUUUAUUUUCUUCAUUUAUUAAUUUUAGGUGAAAUUUAUAUUUUUAAUUAAAGUAUUAUUUUGGAGUCUGUGAAACCUAUCUUUAAAACUAGGAUUAGAUACCCUCUUAUAUUAGGUGUUAAAUUUUUACUUGGGUAGUAUUAGUUAUGUUCUUGAAACCCAAAGGAUUUGGCGGUAUUUUAGUCCUUUCAGAGGAGCCUGUCCUAUAAUCGACAUUCCACGAUAUUUACUACUUAUUUUUGUAUUCAGUUUGUAUACCUCCGUCAUAAGGGUAUCUUUUUAGAGUUAAUUCCCCCAUUUAUUAAAUGUAAAAAUGUCAGGUCAAGGUGCAGCUUAUAUAUAAGUUGAGAUGGGCUACAAUAAUUUUAUUUAUACGGACUUCUUUUAUUUAUUUUGGAUUGAAGGUGGAUUUGAAAGUAAAAUGAUUUAUUUAUUUAUUUGGAAUCUUGGCUCUAAGAUAUGCACACAUCGCCCGUCGCUCUCGUUAUAAAUGAGAUAAGUCGUAACAUAGUAGGCGUAUUGGAAAAUGCACCUAGUAAGAU
rnacentral:ncRNA from 1 species